ACAAAAACAAGAUGGAGACGAUGGUCUGAUGCAUGGCUCUGUGUGCAGUCCGCGGUCGCUAAGUGAAAUACUAGGAUCUCCUCCUCAGAAAAAACUUCACUCACCUUGUUACAUCCUGUUUGUAAGGAAUAAAUCAACUGCCAGGUACCGAAAGGAUGUCAGAGUCCACCUCAGGACAGUACCACACUUUGGCCCCCCACAACUAGCAAGAAAUGAUGUUCACACAGCAACACUCUACUCCACCUUGGCCAGG